rnacentral:tRNA from 1 species
AAGUAAAGAAGUAAAAUACAAUUUAAUUUCGACUUAAAUUUAGAGAUAAAUCUCCAUACUUA